CAAGCACCCAGCUACAUUGAAAAGCUGGGCAGAGCCAGACAUGGGGAUGCAUACUUAUAAUCCCAGCUACUGGAAAGGCAGAAGCAGGUGGAUCUCGAGUCCAAACCCAGCCUUGCCAACUUAGGGAGAAUGUCUCAAUAAAAAAUAACAACGGCUGAGGAUGUAGCUUAGUGGUAGUGGUAAGUGACCCUGGAUUCAAUCCCCAGUACCACACACACACACGUGCAGUUAGAUGAACCAUCCUGGGAGGCCACAGGCUUCCCCAGGGCAUUGGCAGUGGACUCCCAUUGCACCCAACCUUUCAGGACCACCUCUGGCUCGAUUCAGUGAGAUGCACCUGCCCCCAGGUGACUCACGAGCACACCAGGCUCGCCACGAGAGGGGAAGCUGCCAUUCCCAAUGCAGCAGGUUGCCAGUACAUUUAUGACUUGGGAUCACGAAUCCUUAAAUCACCUGCAUGCCCUUGUAAGCAUGAUCAUAGAUCAGCUUGGAAGAGGCCUUGCUGCAGGUGUCUUGGCAAACCCUGGUCAAAGCUAGGAACCACGAGACCAAGGAACUCUAGCAGCUGCACUGGUCCCCAGGAAGCAACGAGAUGCUCUGGACAAGGAAGAUGUGAGUGCAAAUCGAUGAUAAUCUAAGCCUUGGUGGGGAUUUACUGAACCGUAGGUUGCUGCUGCCAGUACAGUAGCUUUGUACCUCUGGGUAGGGACUGCAAGGGACCCUCGGGACCUGCCAUGAGCAAUUCCAGACUCGUGUCCGAGGUCAUCCAGGGAGACCCAGACGUCUGCUAGGGGCCGGGACAGCUGCCUGCGGAUGGAACUGAGCAUGCUCAGGAGGCCCAGGGUUCCCACCACCCUGUGGAGCGUCGCAGCCCUGGAGAGGUGGCCCCCAGUGCAUGAGGAAGGCUUCACACUGUUAUUGUUCGAUCCUGACUCUGCCAACCAGAAAAAUGUGACAUGAGAAGGACAGACCCAUCAGGCUCAGUGGCACACGGCUGUCAUCCCAGCUACUCAGGAGUCUGAGGCAGGAGGAUUCCAAGUUCAAGUCCCAGAUGCACAACUGAGCGAGACCCUGU
rnacentral:lncRNA from 1 species